rnacentral:lncRNA from 1 species
AUAGUUCUUCUUUUGUAGAAAUGUAGUGUAGUUUAUUUUCAUAGUAAUAUGGUUCUUGUAAUUGGUUUAUGUACACAUUGUAACAUACAAUAAUUUAUAUGAAUACAUUGUCCAAAUGAUUAUUGGAAUAAUAUUAUUGACUUGAAGCUUUAUUUUGUACAAUGUAUAAAUGUUUGUUGAUUCAUGAUUGAUGUCCAGGUUUCUUA